rnacentral:snoRNA from 3 species
UUGCAAUGAUGAGAUCUUAUAAUGAAAUUGAAAGUGUUUACACUUAAUGAACGGUCGACAAAAAUAGUCGAACCUGAGCGGUUAGCUGAGCAA